AUGUUGCAAUUCAAGCACAUCACUAAGGUUCACCGACUUGAAACCAGAGGAACAAAUAUACCAAAGUUUUCCUUCAAUUUUUGUCCAUUUGAUAAUCUACCAGAAAAAGAUACUUUUGCAAAGCCACUUCAAGAUAUAAUAGGAGUCAUUAGCCAUGUUGGGCCAUUUGAUUAUGCAAGUCAGACAUCUACAAAUAAACUCAAGAAAAUCAAAAUUCGAAACCUAGAUGAACAGACACAAGAAAUACGUCUUUGGGGCCACCAUGGUGAAACAUUUGAUGAAGAAGUUGUACUCAAAUCACAAGAAGGUAUUGUAGUUGGCAUUUUUGCGGGUCUCACAGCUUGGAGCUUUCUAGGUAACUGCUCAAAUAUUCUCUCUUAA
rnacentral:rRNA from 1 species